rnacentral:rRNA from 1 species
GUCGAGAAUCUUCGGCAAUGGGCGCAAGCCUGACCGAGCGACGCCGCGUGGAGGAUGAAGGCCUUCGGGUUGUAAACUCCUGUCGAGGGGGAGGAAGGCGCAAGCUUGACCUAUCCCUGGAGGAAGCACGGGCUAAGUUCGUGCCAGCAGCCGCGGUAAGACGAACCGUGCGAACGUUAUUCGGAAUCACUGGGCUUAAAGCGCGUGUAGGCGGAUGGGGACGUCGGUUGCUGAAAUCCCCCGGCUCAACCGGGGAACGGGCACCGAAACGCCCCGUCUGGAGGGACGUAGGGGGACCUGGAACUUCCGGUGGAGCGGUGAAAUGCGUUGAGAUCGGAAGGAACGCCCGUGGCGAAAGCGAGGUCCUGGACGUUUUCUGACGCUGAGACGCGAAAGCUAGGGUAGCGAACGGGAUUAGAAACCCCAGUAGUCC